AAACUAACAAGGAUUCCCCUAGUAACUGCGAGUGAAGCGGGAAAAGCUCAAAUUUAAAAUCUGGUGGUCUCUGGCCAUCCGAGUUGUAAUCUAGAGAAGUGUUACCCGCGUCGGACCGUGUAUAAGUCUCCUGGAAUGGAGCGUCAUAGAGGGUGAGAAUCCCGUCUUUGACACGGACYACCGAGGCUUUGUGGUAUGCUCUCAAAGAGUCGAGUUGUUUGGGAAUGCAGCUCAAAAUGGGUGGUAAAUUCCAUCUAAAGCUAAAUAUUGGCGAGAGACCGAUAGCGAACAAGUACCGUGAGGGAAAGAUGAAAAGAACUUUGGAAAGAGAGUUAAACAGUACGUGAAAUUGCUGAAAGGGAAACGCUUGAAGUCAGUCGCGUUGGCCGGGAAUCAGCCUUGCUUUUGCUUGGUGUACUUUCUGGUUGACGGGCCAGCAUCAGUUUUGACCGGUGGAAAAAGUUCAGGGGAAUGUGGCAUCUUCGGGUGUGUUAUAGCCCUUGUUCGUAUACAUCGGUUGGGACUGAAGAACUCAGCACGCCGCAAGGCCGGGUCUUUGACCACGUU
rnacentral:rRNA from 2 species